GAGAGAGAGAGAGAGAGAGAGAGAGAGAGAGAGAGAGAGAGAGCGUGUUUCUCACUCAGGCAAACAUGAGACUGAACUUGGAUGCAAACUGCUGUAGCUGCCAUUGUCAAGCUGUCAGCGGACUCGUGUAAUUAUCCUCUUGAAAAGUAUCGCGGAGCCAUUAUCCACAAAGUACCCGUUAUAGGUGCUCAGAGGCAACACAUGACGAGAGACCGGCGCACCAUCAGCAUCCAGUGACGACGUCCACGAGAAGGUGAAGAUGAACCGGCCUUUCUGAUCAAAGGAUCCGUCUAUAAAGCUCAAGGCUGGCCUUCCUGGACGGUGAAUCACUGCACACUGGACUGGAUGCCCGGCCACGCCCCCCAACAAUGAUGUCAGAGCAGGUGUUUCCCAGCAGCUGUU